AGUGAACGCUGGCGGUAGGCCUAACACAUGCAAGUCGAACGGCAGCACAGUAAGAGCUUGCUCUUACGGGUGGCGAGUGGCGGACGGGUGAGGAAUACAUCGGAAUCUACUUUUUCGUGGGGGAUAACGUAGGGAAACUUACGCUAAUACCGCAUACGACCUACGGGUGAAAGCAGGGGAUCUUCGGACCUUGCGCGAUUGAAUGAGCCGAUGUCGGAUUAGCUAGUUGGCGGGGGAAAGGCCCACCAAGGCGACGAUCCGUAGCUGGUCUGAGAGGAUGAUCAGCCACACUGGAACUGAGACACGGUCCAGACUCCUACGGGAGGCAGCAGUGGGGAAUAUUGGACAAUGGGCGCAAGCCUGAUCCAGCCAUACCGCGUGGGUGAAGAAGGCCUUCGGGUUGUAAAGCCCUUUUGUCGGGAAAGAAAAGCAGCAGGUUAAUACCCCGCUGUUCUGACGGUACCCAAAGAAUAAGCACCGGCUAACUUCGUG
rnacentral:rRNA from 1 species